rnacentral:tRNA from 1 species
GCCUGGCUGGCUCAGUUAGUAGGGCAUGUGACUCUUGAUCUCAGGGUUGUGGGUUUGAGUGCCGUGUUGGGUA